ACCAUAGCCUAAAUUGUCUAAAUUUUUAUUUAUACUAUAAUAUAUUAUGCAGAAAGAAAAAAAUUUAAAUGUCAAACACCUUAAUAUAAACCAUUUCAAAAUGAAAAAACUCAAGAAUUUUUGAAACAAAUAAAUAAACGUUCUUUAUACAAACAAAAAAAAUAAAAAGAAGAGAAACAAGGAUUGGAGAAAAUACAGGUGGGAAAGUUUUCCAUGAUGCCACUUAUUCAAUGUGUUAAUGCAAAAUUUCUUCUCUUAUAAUUUUAUGCAGCAAUAGUCUCAUCAACAAUAGUCUCAAUAUCAAAUUGCAUAAUCUAUAAUUAAAAUCAGCACCCUAACAAUUCUAUCAAUAUUCGGUUGAUGUCUAGAUCCAUUACUCAGUGACCAACAAAGCACACAAAGAAAAUAUUCAAGUUAAAAUUAAAGAGGAAAAAAAAAAAUUAAAAUGCGGACAGAUAGCAUGAGUGAGAGAAGAAAAGAAAAGGAGAGG
rnacentral:misc_RNA from 1 species